AUCCUUCUGCACACGUUCACCGACAUACUCCAGAGCGGACUCCACCUGCCUCUUUAUUAUCAGUAGAAGAGUGAGCACCUAGCAACACAAAAUUGAAUCUUUUUGCUGCUUUGGCACCAGGAUACCCAUGGCAACUUGCUUGUGUUUCUGUGGUGUGACCUUCUAUGGCUGUUUUAUGAACCUGCGUGUAUUCUCCAAGAAGUAGAGCAAGUGCCAUCUAAGUGCUCAGUAAAUACCAGAUGCAUAAGUGUGACUGCCUGCCUGGUGGACCGAUGCUGAGUACCAGAAGUAGGAAGUCUUGGGAAUUCUGUGUCGAACGGAGUAGGAAGUUUCAGGAAGUAUUUUCCUUUAUAAAAUAAGGUUGUGUUUUUAAAAGGGCAAUGUCCCACCCCCAAAAGCAGAGAAAACACAGAAGGAUGAAGAACUGUGAAAAGGUCAUGGACUUUGGAGUUGGGCAGAAGUGAGUGUGAGCUGCAUUGCCUCUUCCUGAUGCAGAAGCUUUGUAGCCAGCACUGUGUCUGUUAGAUGAUGAGGCUGCUAUUGAAGAGAAGAAGAGAACAUUCCACGAUACAGAAAGGUCUCCAGGGUCCUGGCUAGCCUAGUCCUCAUCGGCCCUACCAUUCUUCCCUUCUCUAAAUUCCACCAAUGCUUUUUCAUGGGUUCUCUAAGCCAGUGGUUCUCAACUUGUGGGUUGUGACCCCUUGGGUGGGGAUGUUAACUAUCUCUUCAUAGGAGUCACAUAGCAGAUAUCCAUCCUAUCAGAUUACAUUUGCAUUACCAUUCAUAUCCGUUCCAAAAUUACAGCUAUGAAAAUAACUUUAUAGUCAGGGGUCAUGACAACAUGAGCAACUUUUAAAGGGUCACAGCAUUAUGAAGGUUGAGAACCACUGCUCUGGGCUCUAAGACUAAGGGUGCCUGGGGAUCUGCAUACUUCUCUCUAUUCCAUUCUUCUACUAGUUCAUUCUUCCUGAAGCUUCAGAACUCAGCCAGAGUGUCACUGUCUCAAAGAAGCCUUCCCUGUCUCCAGCUAAGUGGGAUGCCCUGUGAAGUGCACCCUGAGCAUCGCAAGACUUCUCAUAAUUGUUGUCAAGGCUAAUAAUUGUGUACUAACUCACUCCUUCCAGAAUGUCACAUGAAGUUGUUCACUUCCAUCCCAUUCUUCACAACUGUUUUUUAUCUUUAAAGCUUUGGGUGGGAAAGUAAGAAUAAUGGAAACAGACAAGGACCUAAAUGAAUGUACCCUAACCUCCUAUGACCAUCUGAACAUUUCUCCUUUGGCUAUUCCUUGGAAUCCCAUAGUUCUCAGCUCUUCUGCUGCAAAAGAACCCUGUGGGAGAUUUGGAAAAGUGAAGAUAGCAACUUAAGAUAUCCUGGCUUCCUUUCAUCAGCCUUUUUAAUGUUUUC
rnacentral:lncRNA from 1 species